UACGUAGGAGGCAAGCGUUGUCCGGAAUUACUGGGUGUAAAGCGCGUGUAGGCGGCAGGCCAAGUCUGUGGUGAAAUCGCUCGGCUCAACUGGGCGGGGUCCAUGGAAACUGGUCAGCUGGAGGACGGUAGAGGUGAGUGGAAUUCCCGGUGUAGUGGUGAAAUGCGUAGAGAUCGGGAGGAACACCCGUGGCGAAGGCGGCUCACUGGGCCGGUCCUGACGCUGAUGCGCGAAAGCCAGGGGAGCGAACGGG
rnacentral:rRNA from 1 species